rnacentral:lncRNA from 1 species
CUCUCCAGCCUACAAGUCGGGAGUCGGCGACCGCUUAGUGACGAGCGAUGAUUUUAAAGAGCAGAAUAAAAGGUUUUCCCGUGCCUGCCCCACAGCCCCUCCAGCUCGAAUAAUGGAGAACUGUCAAUGCACUCCGCGAGCGGUGGCCCAUUGUACGCAGCUGAUGGCGAGGAGGCGACUGGGGGUAGCAGGGGCUCCUUGCCCUCGUCCCUAUGCCCAAAUAAACGCGCAAACGCGCUCCCGUCUUCUGGUCAGUUAAAAGGUGAAACGAACACGAUUAAAAUAGACCAAAAGAAAAGAAAGAAAAGAAAACCUUUCUAUGUACAGAUUCUAAAUCGUACUCCCCAUACAGUCAGAGGCAGGGAGUCGAGGGCAGAGGCAGCAGGCGGAGAGAGGGAGAUAGGGCGAGGGAAGGAGAACGCGGAGAGAGACGAAGGGAGUGGGAGACCAGCGACAGCGAGCGCCAGGGCACCGCAGGCACACUGGAUGCCCAGUCCGCCGGCCCAGCCGCCCUCGGACCCUGGACCGUGCGUCGUGGGCACCAGAAACGAGACUCGGCCAAAUCCUGCCUCACCAGCAGGUAGAUGAAACUCAAGAGAAAAGGUGUGGAUAAAUGAAACUAGCCCAUGAUGAACCUGUUUUCUCCGUGACCACAAUAUUAACCAGGAUGAAUGGCGAUACACUGCCUCUAGGACUGGGACAGAUAGCCACUGAGUACCUGCUUCAAAUCACCCUGCACGUUUUCUCUUUGGAAAGAUAAGCACUGGAGAACCAUCUCGUUACCUUCAGCAGAAAUGGAAACAAAUCAAGACAUUAAGAAUGCCGCAGUGGACAGCAGUUAUGCAAGGUUCAGCAGAGGAAGUUUUCAAGAUGGUGUGCCUCACUAGCCAGAAAUCAG